AUCCUGCACAGUCUACCUCUCUGCAGUUAAUUUGUCUCAGAUGCUAGGGCACUUGAGGAGGAGAAGGAGUAGGGCUGAGUCAUUUCCUUAACAUUGAAUCAAAGGGAAAGAACACUAAGCUGAUUCAUUAUGAUCUUGUUCUUACUAUUGGGAUCUAAAGUAGAAUUCUUCCCUUUGGAGGGAACAUUUCCUCUGAAUUAAGAAGAAAUGUUGUUAUUUACAUCUGACCUAUAUUCUCUAGACCUUAGUGGUUUCCAGGACAACACACUGAGGUUUUGAAGGAGGGGUGCAAGGGGAAGUGCUGACUCAUCUUUUUUGCCACUCCCUUCCCUGGUUGUCUUAUAAGAGCAUCUAUUCACAGCUUGCUUUGUGACUUGAGGCCAAUUUUGGGCCAGUGUUACAACCACCAGAUGGCAUUAAAUCCCAGCUUGAGCCUAGGAUGGAUGAAAUCUGCAAUCGACUUGAAAAUGUGUGCUGUCAGAAUACAACUGGGCAAGAUUGAUGAAUAUUCUAAUUACUUACUUGGAAACCAAUUCUCUACCUUCACAGAAGAGACUAUAUGGACAAGGUGGGACCAGAGCAGCUGAGGAGUGAUCUCACCUCAGAAAUGGAGGUGGCAGUGUGGGCCAGAAGCCUGGGAAAGAGUAAGAUUGAAAUAGACACGGAAGGGACUUCCAACUACAGGAGACAGAACAUCUUAUCAGACUUGGAAAGUCCACCUCACCAUACAGCAACUCUUUCUACUUACAGUAUUCCACAUAUAAGACUAUGGCAAGAGUGGAUGAAUCCCUGCUGAUUUUUGAAACUGCAGUCAAUUCGUUUUACCAGUUCUGAAGCUGGUCGAGCCCGUUGUGGAGUGGACCCCCGAUGCAGGCGAUUUGCUGCCGCCGCUUCCAGUCUUGCAGCUCUUCUAUGAGCAUGUUGUUCAUUAACAGGUCCGUCUCAUGGAUGAUUUGGGUCAUUUUACUGAGAGCCUCCUAAAAACAAAGGGGACUACUGAAAAGAGUUUCAUAAGAAAUAAGUCACUUAGAAUUCAAUUUACAAAACUAUUUGACCUGGUAGACAAGGGCUUGGUUAAAAUUUUGACCAAAUAUUUUACUAAAUACUAGCUUCUAUUUGCCAGGCCUUUUCAAACAAUUAAAUUAUUGACAAUAAAAGAUGUCAUGAGAAAAGAAGAAUGGCCACAGUUUAACAUUCUCUUCAUGUGUUUCAGUAUAAAUAUAUUGAAUUUGUAAGUCCUGUGGCAAUGAUAUUGAAUCUUGUAGUCACAAAACUGUAUAGUUGCUUAUUAAAAGGAUAUUUAUAUAUUUAAUUUAUUUUUUAAAUAAAGAUGGUUAUCCAUUUAUAUUAAAAUGAGCUGACUAAAAUUUGAGCCUUUCUGUGUUAAUUUUUAUUAGGACUGUUUCUGGGUUUUGGAAGGCAUAAUGGAGAAUUAUAACUUUCAAAGGUCUAGGGGGUAGAAGAUAUGAAUUUCUGUUCUGGCAUUAUUGUAAGCUAUAUGAAUGUGAGCAAAGUAUUUAGUUUUGCUGAAACUUGGUAUAUUCUCAUUUAUACAACCAAUUGAAUGAACUGAAUUAUCGUCAAUGUUCCUUCUCUUUUUAAAAUGUUAUUCCUAAAGUAGAAUAAAAUGUCAUGCAUAAAAAUACAUAGCAUAGAUUUAUUAUGCAUAAAAACAUUAACUUUUUCUUGAAUUAACUACUUGCAUACUUAAAAUCUGAUACAUAACUGUUUAUAAUUAAUUUAGGGUAAAAAUAAAUGUUGUACUUGUUUGUGCUCACACAAAUUCCUGCACAAAAAAUUGAGCCGAACUUUUAGAAAUGAACUACUGAUUUAUUAGUGACUGGUUAAAUUUCAAUUGCAUUUAUUUUUCAAGAUAGGUAGAAAAGUGAAAUAGAGAUGUUUCCCCUCCUUAAAAAUAUUUAAUUAAACCAGAAAAAAAGUUCUUGCUCUCCUUGGAAGAAGUUAGAUUGAAUAUGUUCAGUUGCCAAUGAACUAUUUUGAAAUCUAGGAAAUUGCUUAAUACUACGUCAUUUCUCAGAGUAGAAACUAGAACAUUUAUUUUUCCAAUAAGAUUUUAGCAGUCAUCAAAUGCUAUUUUAAUUAUAUAUGUGCAGUGGAACCCAUCUCAGCAUAUUAAGUACUUAAACUAAAACAGCCAUGUCUGAAAUAAUGACAAAUAAAAAUCAUGUAAAAGUUCCACCCUGAAAUUAAUGUUAGCUAUAGUAAAUGUAUCACAUAAGCAAGAUGAAUAGUCUCUAAAGAGGUCCAGCAUUGUAAACUCAUGAAGAGAAGCAUGGCAAACAGCAUGGGACUGUUCCUAGAAACCUUGCCGUUUUUUCAUUCAGUAAAUGGAACUGAUAAAAUCUGACAGCUUGAUUCUUUUCAGUUAGUCUAAGUUUAGAAAAAAGGAGAAAAAUAGUCAAAAGCCCAAAUUAAAAUUCUUCACUAACCUUUCUCUUGAAAUCGAGGCUGUUAAGCAUUUCCUGCAGUGUCAAAACUUCCUGAUUCAUCAUGGCGCUAUUCUUGUCACUCUGAUCUGCAAAGGUAGAGAGAUCAGAUUUAGAGUCCUCGCCAAGUCAAAGCUCUCUGUUCCUGAAAGUCAAGUCAGCCUCAAUCCACCACCCUAAAACAGCCCUGCCCCAGAGAACUUACGUGAUAAGAGACUAAUUGGGUUCACUAGAGGUGAGCUUGGAAGUCUCUGUCUGCUCAUUUUGCCAGAAAGAAUUACAUCCAAGCAUGAAAAAAAGGACCUCUUUAUUUUACAGACCUUCAGGAAAGACCAUUCUGCACUUGGUGUCCGGUUUUGUUUUGUUUUGGUGGUGGUGGACAGAGGAGAUAAAGUUGCUGUAAUGGAUUCCUUACUGGAUACCUCCACAUUAAUUAUAUACUUGGUUAUUUGGUAAAAGUAAGGAAGGCGGGGAUUACCCUUUGUGCUCCUGAUUAAAUCAUAUUUGACUCUCUGUUGCCUUCACCUACCCCUCCCUGCUCUGCUUCAUAUGCAGGUUUUAUGAGAAACUGCCUCAUGGAGUUACAGUCUUAUCUACCUAGUCUCACGAACUAAUAAAAGACUAAGUUCUUUACUUUC